rnacentral:rRNA from 1 species
AUUGGAGGAAAGCAGGGGAUCGCAAGACCUUGCGCUCUUUGAGCGGCCGAUGUCUGAUUAGCUAGUUGGUGAGGUAAAGGCUUACCAAGGCGACGAUCAGUAGCUGGUCUGAGAGGACGACCAGCCACACUGGGACUGAGACACGGCCCAGACUCCUACGGGAGGCAGCAGUGGGGAAUUUUGGACAAUGGGGGAAACCCUGAUCCAGCCAUGCCGCGUGAGUGAAGAAGGCCUUCGGGUUGUAAAGCUCUUUCAGCCGGAACGAAACGGUCACGGCUAAUACCUGUGACUACUGACGGUACCGGAAGAAGAAGCACCGGCUAACUACGUGCCAGCAGCCGCGGUAAUACGUAGGGUGCAAGCGUUAAUCGGAAUUACUGGGCGUAAAGCGUGCGCAGGCGGUUUUGUAAGUCAGAUGUGAAAUCCCCGGGCUUAACCUGGGAACUGCGUUUGAAACUACAAAGCUAGAAU